rnacentral:rRNA from 1 species
GACGAACGCUGGCGGCGUGCUUAACACAUGCAAGUCGAACGGAAAGGCCCUGCUUUUGUGGGGUGCUCGAGUGGCGAACGGGUGAGUAACACGUGAGUAACCUGCCCUUGACUUUGGGAUAACUUCAGGAAACUGGGGCUAAUACCGGAUAGGAUCUCCUGCUGCAUGGUGGGGGUUGGAAAGUUUCGGCGGUUGGGGAUGGACUCGCGGCUUAUCAGCUUGUUGGUGGGGUAGUGGCUUACCAAGGCUUUGACGGGUAGCCGGCCUGAGAGGGUGACCGGCCACAUUGGGACUGAGAUACGGCCCAGACUCCUACGGGAGGCAGCAGUGGGGAAUAUUGCAGAAUGGGCGGAAGCCUGAUGCAGCAACGCCGCGUGCGGGAUGACGGCCUUCGGGUUGUAAACCGCUUUCGCCUGUGACGAAGCGUGAGUGACGGUAAUGGGUAAAGAAGCACCGGCUAACUACGUG